rnacentral:rRNA from 1 species
AUUGAACGCUGGCGGCAGGCCUAACACAUGCAAGUCGAGCGAGCGGCGGACGGGUGAGUAAUGGCUGGGAACCUGCCUGAUGGCGGGGGAUCACGACUGGAAACGGUAGCUAAUACCGCAUACCAUCCGAUGUGCCCAGUUGGGAUUAGCUAGUAGGUGGGGUAACGUCUAACAUUGGCGACGAUCCCUAGCUGGUCUGAGAGGAUGACCAGCCAAACUGGAACUGAGAAACGGUCAAGACCCCUACGGAAGCAAGCAGUGGGGAUGAUCGCACAUUGGGCGAAAGCCUGAUGCAGCCAGGCGGCGUGGGUGAAGAAGGCCUUCGAGUUGUAAAGCACUUUCAGCGGGGAGGCGUUACCCGCAGAAGAAGGAACGGCUAACUCCGUGCCAGCAGCCGCGGUAAUAC